GAAACCCUGCUGUGUGCGUAACGAAGCUGAUGUUUUGAACCAACACAUUUACCUAGGGAGCUUUUCUCUGGCUGUGGCGUGUAGGCCUUUGGAAAAGAAGGACACAUCAAGCGGCUGGGAGGCGCCCACCUGUGAGAGCGGGUUCAGGUAAGCUUCAGCUUGCAAACGACAUGGCGGGGUUUCU
rnacentral:other from 1 species